AUACGUAGGGAGCGAGCGUUGUCCGGAUUUACUGGGUGUAAAGGGUGCGUAGGCGGCUCUGCAAGUCAGGUGUGAAAACCAUCGGCUUAACUGAUGGACUGCAUUUGAAACUGUGGAGCUUGAGUGGAGUAGAGGCAGACGGAAUUCCCGGUGUAGCGGUGAAAUGCGUAGAGAUCGGGAGGAACACCAGUGGCGAAGGCGGUCUGCUGGGCUUUAACUGACGCUGAGGCACGAAAGCAUGGGUAGCAAACAGGAUUAGAUACCCUGGUAGUCCAUGCCGCAAACGAUGAUUACUAGGUGUGGGGGGUCUGACCCCCUCCGUGCCGGAGUUAACACAAUAAGCAAUCCACCUGGGGAGUACGGCCGCAAGGUUGAA
rnacentral:rRNA from 1 species